UGGGGUAUCGCCAAGCGGUAAGGCACCGGUUUUUGAUACCGGCAUUCCCUGGGUCGAAUCCAGGUACCCCAGCCA
rnacentral:tRNA from 1 species